rnacentral:rRNA from 1 species
UACGAAGGGGGCUAGCGUUGCUCGGAAUCACUGGGCGUAAAGCGCACGUAGGCGGCUUUUUAAGUCAGGGGUGAAAUCCCGGAGCUCAACUCCAGAACUGCCUUUGAUACUGAAAGUCUUGAGUAUGGGAGAGGUGAGUGGAACUGCGAGUGUAGAGGUGAAAUUCGUAGAUAUUCGCAAGAACACCAGUGGCGAAGGCGGCUCACUGGCCCAUAACUGACGCUGAGGCACGGAAAGCGUGGGGAGCCAAACAGG